rnacentral:ncRNA from 1 species
UAAAACGUGAUGAGCAGGAGAAGUAAAUCAGAUUUAUUUUUCAGAGAGCCGGGGGAUGGUGGAACCCGGUAAGUAAACUGAUUGAAAUACACCUGGGAGCAGCAGGUCGAAAUAGAAGUAGACUUUGCCGGAGCGCCACCGUUAUCAUAGGCUAGGGUAUCAGAUUUUAUCUCGUACCUGAGUAAAGCGGCUUGCAAUGCAAGCAGGGUGGUACCGCGGGCUUAUAUCCCGUCCCUGAU